rnacentral:rRNA from 1 species
GACGAACGCUGGCGGCGUGCCUAAUACAUGCAAGUCGAACGCAGUGGGGACGGGUGAGUAACACGUGGGUAACCUCCCAUCAGAGGGGAUAACACUUGGAAACAGGUGCUAAACCGAUACUGAUGGAUGGACCCGCGGUGCAUUAACUAGUUGGGGAGGUAACGGCUAACCAAGGCCACGAUGCAUAGCCGACCUGGGAGUGGGAUCGGCCACACGGGGACUGAGAAACGGCCCAGACUCCUACGGGAGGCAGCAGUAGGGAAUCUUCGGCAAUGGACGAAAGUCUUACCGGGCAACGCCGCGGGAGUGAAGAAGGUUUUCGGUUGUUAAAACUCUGUUGUUAGAGAAGCGGUAUCUACCAGAAAGCCACGGCUAACUACGUGCCAGCAGCCGCGGUAAUAC